rnacentral:lncRNA from 1 species
CUCUCGGCAGCUCAGGGAUCUUAAUUAGGAAAGGACCUUCAGAAGCCCGCCUGCUGAGGGAUGGGAUCCCUAGAAAACGCCCCUUCAGCCCGGCACUCUCCCUACAGGGUCAUGGCGGAGAGCGCCCUCUAUCGACAGCGGCUGGAGGUCAUCGCUGAGAAGCGGAGGCUGCAGGAGGAGAUCAGCGCUGCGCGUCGCGAGCUGGAGGAGGAGAAACUCCGUGUGGAGCGGCUCAAGAGGAAAUCUCUCCGAGAACGUUGGCUCAUGGAUGCGGCGGCU